rnacentral:rRNA from 1 species
AGUGAACGCUGGCGGUAGGCCUAACACAUGCAAGUCGAACGGUAGCACAGUAAGAGCUUGCUCUUACGGGUGGCGAGUGGCGGACGGGUGAGGAAUACAUCGGAAUCUACUUUUUCGUGGGGGAUAACGUAGGGAAACUUACGCUAAUACCGCAUACGACCUACGGGUGAAAGCAGGGGAUCUUCGGACCUUGCGCGAUUGAAUGAGCCGAUGUCGGAUUAGCUAGUUGGCGGGGUAAAGACCCACCAAGGCGACGAUCCGUAGCUGGUCUGAGAGGAUGAUCAGCCACACUGGAACUGAGACACGGUCCAGACUCCUACGGGAGGCAGCAGUGGGGAAUAUUGGACAAUGGGCGCAAGCCUGAUCCAGCCAUACCGCGUGGGUGAAGAAGGCCUUCGGGUUGUAAAGCCCUUUUGUUGGGAAAGAAAAGCAGCAGGUUAAUACCCCGCUGUUCUGACGGUACCCAAAGAAUAAGCACCGGCUAACUUCGUG